rnacentral:lncRNA from 1 species
CUUCGACUUAUAUGCAUUUACUUAUUCAUUUACCAACUAUACACAACAAUACGUUUUAUAACACCAAGUUACUGAUGCGUUUUCGUAUUAUCAAUGUACAAUCAAUUAACAAAUAAUAAACCAUAUAUCUAGGUUUUAAGACUAUAUGAUAUUAUCGUCUUGCGAUCACCUUUUAUAUCGUAUUCCAUAAGGUGAUUCCAGCAAGCGCGGGUUUAUUCCAAUGCUCAAAACUAGUUCAUAAGCACUCAUGAACGUUGCAGCAAUCCUUUGCUAUGUCUAACACCAUUUAGACAUUCUACACACCAAUUCAUGACAAUCUUCAUUCAUAUCUACUCCCAACAUAUGAACGAUUGUGGACCAUUUGAACAAUUCGAUUAUUCCUAAUAAACUCAAUUAUUCUGGAAGUCAAAACAUGCAAAGUGAAACAAUAGCUAAACAAUUAACAUAAGAUAGUAACAUUACUCAUAAAUAAAACUCCUUUAUUUAAUCAUCAAAUGUUAAUUACAUUUAUCUAUUACACGUUUCUAAUACUAUCUAAUCUAUGCUAAUAUCAUCCUUCAGCCCAAUACUCCUAGCAUGCUGCAAGUGCUUAACCCUACUCAGUCCCUUCGUAAGCGGAUCUGCUGGGUUAUCUUCUGAUGAUAUCCUCUUCACUACGAGUUGUCCUUCUUCUACACGAUGUCUAAUGAAGUGAUACUUUCUGUCGAUAUGUCUUGAUCUACCAUGAUCCCUCGGUUCCUUGGUUAAGGCAACCGCGCCUUCGUUAUCACAGAAAAUCUCCAUUGGCUCCUUUAUGGCAGGUACAACUCCAAGAUCACCGAUGAAGUUCUUUAGCCAUAUUGCCUCCUUCGACGCUUCGCUCGCUGCAAUGUACUCUGAUUCGCACGUUGAAUCAGCUACGGUUUCCUGCUUGGAACUCUUCCAUGUCACUGCUCCUCCAUUUAGGGUAAAGACCCAGCCCGACUGCGAACGGUAGUUGUCCCUGUCGGUCUGAAAACUGGCGUCACUAUACCCUCGCACCUUCAAGUCAUCACUCCCUCCGAGGACUAAGAACCAUUCCUUCGUCCUCCGAAGGUACUUAAGGAUAUUCUUCACCGCAAUCCAAUGUGCUUUGCCAGGAUUCCCUUGAUAUCUGCUAACCAUGCUCAAAGCGAAGGCUACAUCAGGGCGAGUACAAGUCAUAGCGUACAUGAUUGAGCCAACUGCGGAAGCGUAUGGUACUCGGCUCAUUUCUGCUAUCUCAGCUUCGGUACUCGGACUUUGAGUCUUACUCAAUUUGGCAUUACUUUGUAUCGGUAGUUCUCCCUUCUUUGAGUUUUCCAUACUAAAACGUUUUAGUACCUUCUCUAAGUAAGUAUUCUGACUAAGUCCAAUUAGUCUCUUACUUCUUUCUCUUACUAUCCUUAUUCCCAAAAUGUAAGAAGCCUCUCCGAGGUCCUUCAUAGCGAAGCACUUCCCGAGCCAGGACUUAACCUCCUGCAGAGUCGGGAUGUCGUUUCCUAUGAGUAAUAUGUCAUCGACAUAUAGAACGAGGAAGCUUACUAUACUCCCACUGGCUUUGACAUAUACACAAGAUUCGUCUUCGCUUCGUACAAAUCCAAACUCUUUGACUUUCUCAUCGAAGCAAAGAUUCCAUCUGCGAGACGCUUGCUUAAGUCCAUAAAUGGACUUCUCAAGCUUACACACUCUAUUCGGAUGCUUCGGAUCCACAAACCCCUCUGGCUGAGCCAUGUAAACAUCCUCAGCCAACUUUCCGUUAAGGAAAGCGGUCUUGACAUCCAUUUGCCAAAUCUCAUAAUCAUGAAAUGCGGCAAUUGCUAGCAUCACUCUAAUAGAUUUAAUCUUCGCAACUGGUGAGAAGGUCUCAUCAUAGUCAACUCCGGGAGUUUGAGUAAAGCCCUUCGCAACCAAUCGCGCUUUAUAUGUGUGUACGUUUCCAUCCACGUCGGUCUUCUUCUUGAAGAUCCAUUUGCACCCAACGGUCUUACGUCCGGGCACAUAAUCAACCAAAUUCCAAACUUGGUUAUCAUACAUGGAUUGGAUCUCGCUAUCCAUUGCCUCUUUCCAUUUUGCAGACUCCGGGCCUGCCAUGGCUUCCUUAUAGCUAUUAGGUUCAUCAAGAUUUACUAGUGUACCAUCACUAAUAUACGUGUCCCCUUCGGUAGUAAUAUGAAAGCCAUAAAACUGGGGAUGAACUCUAACUCUAUCGGAACGUCUAAGAGGUAAGGAUUCGUCAAUCGGUUCAACCGGAGUUUCCUCCUCGGGUUGAGUGCCAGCGGUAGAGGUUCCUUCAUCUAUCGACUCUUGAAUCUCUUCAAGUUCGAUUUGCCUCCCACUGUCUCCUUGGCUUAUGAGUUCUCGCUCUCGGAAAACUCCUCUCCUCGCAACGAAGACAACAUUGUCCUUCGGUCUAUAGAAGAGAUAUCCAAAGGAUGUCUGCGGGUAGCCGAUGAAAAUACAUCGCUCACUUCGAGGUUCAAGCUUGUCGUGAGUAUCUCGUCUUACGAAAGCCUCGCAACCCCAAACCUUGAUAUGUGCCAACGAGGGAGCUUUCCCUGUCCACAUCUCGUGAGGUGUUUUGGCAACCUUCUUAGUAGGGACUCGGUUAAGGAUAUGGGCGGCAGUCUCUAAGGCAUACCCCCAAAAAGAGAUUGGUAGUGAAGCACGACUCAUCAUAGAGCGAACCAUAUCCAAUAAGGUUCGAUUACGCCUUUCUGCCACACCAUUCAACUGCGGUGUCCUAGGAGGCGUCAAUUGUGAAACUAUUCCACACUCCUUGAGAUAAUCGUGGAAUUCAAGACUUAGGUACUCUCCUCCUCGAUCGGAUCGAAGCAUCUUGAUUUUCCUGCCCAAUUGAUUCUCCACUUCAUUCUUGAACUCUUUGAACUUUUCAAAGGUGUCUGACUUUUGCUUGAUUAAGUAGAUAUACCCAUAUCUACUAUAGUCAUCGGUAAAAGUCACAUAGAAGCGGUUCCCAUCCUUCGUGGUUGAUCUAAACGGUCCACAUACAUCGGUAUGUAUUAGGUCCAAUAGACCCUCGCCCCUUUCACAUGUACUCGUGAAGGGUGACUUAGUCAUCUUUCCAAGCAAACAAGACUCGCAUGUGUCAUCUUCCCUAAGGUCGAAUGACUCCAACACUCCAUCCUUUUGGAGUUGGGCUAUGCGUUUCUUGUUGACAUGUCCAAGACGACAAUGCCACAAGGAUGCUUUAUCCAUACUAGUGGAAGAAUCAAUAUUCAAAACAUCAUUUCCUAAGUUAUCAACAAUCAUAACGGUUUCAUAUAUUCCAUUACAUGGUAUAGCUUCAAAGUAAAAGACACCAUUUAGAUAAGCCAAAAUAGAACCAUUCUCAUUAUUAAAAGAAAAUCUAAAUCCUUGUCUAUAUAAACCAUGAAAUGAAAUGAUGUUUCUUGCCAUUUCUGGCGAAUAGCAACAAUUGUUCAAAUCUAAAACUAAACUAUUCCUAAGCACUAAGGAAUACACUCCAAUCUUGGUCACAGGCGACGAUCUUCUGUUCCCCAUGAUUAGAUUGAUCCUUCCUUGCUCCACAUCCCUACUUCUUCUUAGUCCCUGCACAUUAGAACAAAUGUGAUAACCACAACCGGUAUCAAGAACCCAAGAAAUAGCAUGAUUAGAAUCGUUAGAUUUGAUUGUAUAUAUACCUGCGAAAGAUGGCUUGAUCUUUCCUUCUUUGAUUGCUUGCAGGUAAUCUGGGCAGCUUCUCUUCCAAUGUCCUAUCUUGUGGCAGUGGUGGCACUCUGCCUCCUUCGGGUUAGAGCAGGGCUUAGCGGGAUCAACUUUGGUCCCACUAGAAGAGGCACCAUCUCGGGCUUUCACCUUGCGAUAGUUCUUCGAUGAAGCUUUCCUCUUCUUUCCCUUCCCUUGUCCAAUAGCCAAGACAGGAGCAGCGGGCGGAUUGGGAGUAGGUGCAACAGACUUGUCUUUGAAGUUGCUCUCAGCAACCCUCAAGAGACCUUGGAGCUUGCUUAGGGUGACCUCUUCUUUGUUCAUGUGGUAGGUCAUCCUAAAUUGAUUGUACAUCGGAGGCAAAGAGUGAAGCACCAUGUCGAUCGCCAAAUCCUCACCGAAGUCAACAUUUAACUUGCGAAGGCGGUCGACAUACCUUUGCAUCUUUUGCAAGUGCACGGUAAGAGAUUCUCCAUGACCCAUCUUCGCGGAAAUCAUGUUAGUGAAAAUCUCGUACCUCUCUUGUCUCGCGUUUUGGUGGUACCUCUCCAAUAAGUCUUGAUGCAUCUCGUACGGGUACAUGUCCUCGUAGGACUUUUGGAAUUCGGAGUUCAUGGUGGCGAUCAUGAUGCAAUGUACCUUCGUUGCAUCUCGCUCAUGAGUCUCAAAAGCGGUGAUUUCGGCGGGAGUAGCGAUUUCGGGGUUGAUUUUCUCGAGCUUCUCAUCGAGGACAUACUCCUUAUCCUCAUAGCGAGCAAUGGUGCGAAUGUAUCUUAUCCAUUCGCUAAAGUUCGUUCCAUCGAAGGUGACCUUUUGGCAAAGGCUCAUCAACGUGAAAGAACUAGCAGCAGCGUUGUUUGCGUUCGACAUCUACAAUUAGAAAAGGACAAAGAUAGAUUAGAAUAAGAAUCCCUAAUUAUCACCCAAUAAGAAAAUUAGGGCUAGGAUCCAACAAUAACAUUUACAUACUAGAAAAGGGAUGCCGUAAUCUAACAUGCAAAUAAAUUGAAGGUAAGUGAAUGACGAUUCACUAAUUCUCCAUCACAAAACUUAAACUAUUAGUCCUAAGUGUUUUUGAGAAUUCCUAGGUUCGGAUGAGAUUCAUUGAAACUAUUCAAUGGCAUGUUUAAAUCUCGAUAUGCCCCUCUUGUUUGUGACUGGGAUGCCGAGGAUCACAAAGCGGGUGUGAAUUACCAUGCAAAUUCACAUGGUGCCUUCAUUGUAACGAUCACCUAUUCGAUGUGCCGGUAAACCACACACGCUCCAUCGAACUAUGAUAAACAAUGAAUCACCCUUUGCCACCUUCGCUUAGAACCAAUUAGUGUGCCGGUAAACCACACACGCUCCACUAACAUCUUAGCAAGGUGCAAAGUGUAAUUUCAUGGGAUUGCAUCAAUUCACUUUUCCUAAAGUAACUAGGAUUGGGAAAUUUUAAAAUAUGUGUAGUUACUUUGUAUUUCUUAUUAUACUUUUAAUGAGAGGAUGAGGUUGCCCUAUCCUACCCGUUCGGCUAACGACCCUCCACCAAUCAAGCAAGCGGUGGGUGUGAGUGUACACCCAUUAAGCGCCAUUUUAUAGGCCGCAACCUUAUACCCACCUUAUAGAUCGGCUUCGUGAAUGAGGCCUACUAACGGUAAGACUAGCAUUUAGUUAUACAUAUAUAUAUUAUUCUAGUAAUAUCAUAUUAGUAUAGGGUUGUAUUUUAAAACUUUUAAAAUCUAGGGUUUGAAAUUUAAGUUGUCUAAAUUAAAACUUUUAAUCACAAAAGUAAAUUUCAAAACAUGAGGGUAGGUUUUAAACAUUUAAAACAUGGAGGAUCAAAUAACAAAUAAUUCCAAUUAACAAUUAAUAUCCUAAUUAUCUAUAUUUGAUUUAUUCAAGAUUUUUUUUAAGAUAAUUACCAAAAUAAUUAAAAUAAUUAAUUAAUUAUCAUAUAAGGAAAUUAAAUAUUUAAUUAGUUGAUAAUUACCUUUAACUAGAUCAAGAUAAUAGUUAUAUUUAUCAGAAAAACGAAUUAAUGUUGAUCUAAUUAGUUUAUGGUAAGUUAAGAUAAGAUAAACACAAAGAAAUCCCGAAUCUGGCCAUUCCUGACGCCUGGACUCGCCGAGUGCACAAAUGGACUCGCCGAGUCAGGCCUACUCGCCGAGUCCACUUUGAGACUCGCCGAGUCCAUGACUCAGAAACCAAAAAUUCGAAUUUUGCAGGUUUGUUUCAGUUAAUCAAGCAACAAUUUAAAGAAAACCAAGCUAGGCUCUGAUACCACUGAUGGGUUUUAGCCAUAAGAACUUUCCUAUGUGCGCAUGCAAAACCCUAAUGCUUGGAUCUAGGCUUUCUAAUAAACAUGCUUUGAAUCCAAGACUUCUAAUGACUAAUUAGGUUAAAUAACAACAUUGAAACAGAUCUAGAAUCAUACCUUUGAGUUCCUUGUUGAUCUUGAGGUCUUGGAGCUUCUAGAGUCACAAAUGUCACUCCUCUAAUGGCUUACAAACACCAAAGCAAGGAGGAUGAUUUGGGAGAGAGGAGAGGGGAGGAAUUCGACCAGAGUUCUCUUGCUUUUUCAGAAGUGUCGAAUUCCCUAUGCCAUGGGGUCUAUUUAUACUUGUAGACUCCUUAAGGAUUACAGAUAAGUCCCUAUCAGAUAAUCUUCUCUUAAGGCUAUCCAAAUCCAUUCCUAGAUAACUCUAAUGGACGAUUUUAGCUAUCCUAAUCCUCUUAGAAUUCGUCCAUAGCAUAUCCAAAUGGAUUUACAGUCUAAAGCUUAACUAUCAAACAAUUGACAGUUUAUACCCCUUUAUUUAAUUAAUCUCUUUAAGUCACCAAAUUAAUUCUAAUUAAUUCUAUGACUUAUAUUAAUCAAAUAACAAAUAUAUUAUUCAUUAUAUUAUUCUCAUAAUAUAUUAAUAAUAUUUACUCUCUCUUAAUAAAUCAUCCUAUCAAGUUGCUAUGGUGAAGGCAACCCAAAAGGACCAUGCACAACCGGAUCAAAUACUUGCCUAAUAUAGUUACAGCCUUAGACACUAUUCCAACAGUCUCCCACUUGGAUAAGUCUAGUAACUAUACAAGUACAAUUCGGUUUGCAAUCGUAGCUCUCAAAGACGCUGUCAACUCUGAUCUAAUCAAUCUUGUCCUUUAGAUAAGGGAACGUACAGUCCUCUGUUAGAUAUCAUGCUGACAAUCCUAUGGAAUGGUUAGUCAAGCAUUUAGGUUUCUCGAUCUCUGAUUUAUUUGACAUAGAACUUAAUCGAACACAUCAAUUCAGUUCUGACCGGGCCCGGCACAUAAGUCAAAUCAAAUCAUCGAGCGGCCGAGAUAUCGCUUUUACCUUCUUAGAUAAAAGUUACAGAUAAACUUCGACUUAUAUGCAUUUACUUAUUCAUUAACCAACUAUACACAACAAUACGUUUUAUAACACCAAGUUACUGAUGCGUUUUCGUAUUAUCAAUGUACAAUCAAUUAACAAAUAAUAAACCAUAUAUCUAGGUUUUAAGACUAUAUGAUAUUAUCGUCUUGCGAUCACCUUUUAUAUCGUAUUCCAUAAGGUGAUUCCAGCAAGCGCGGGUUUAUUCCAAUGCUCAAAACUAGUUCAUAAGCACUCAUGAACGUUGCAGCAAUCCUUUGCUAUGUCUAACACCAUUUAGACAUUCUACACACCAAUUCAUGACAAUCUUCCUUCAUAUCUACUCCCAACAUAUGAACGAUUGUGGACUAUUUGAACAAUUCGAUUAUUCCUAAUAAACUCAAUUAUUCUGGAAGUCAAAACAUGCAAAGUGAAACAAUAGUUAAACAAUUAACAUAAGAUAGUAACAUUACUCAUAAAUAAAACUCCUUUAUUUAAUCAUCAAAUGUCAAUUACAUUUAUCUAUUACACGUUUCUAAUACUAUCUAAUCUAUGCUAAUAUCAUCCUUCAGCCCAAUACUCCUAGCAUGCUGCAAGUGCUUAACCCUACUCAGUCCCUUCGUAAGCGGAUCUGCUGGGUUAUCUUCUGAUGAUAUCCUCUUCACUACGAGUUGUCCUUCUUCUACACGAUGUCUAAUGAAGUGAUACUUUCUGUCGAUAUGUCUUGAUCUACCAUGAUCCCUCGGUUCCUUGGUCAAGGCAACCGUGCCUUCGUUAUCACAGAAAAUCUCCAUUGGCUCCUUUAUGGCAUGUACAACUCCAAGAUCACUGAUGAAGUUCUUUAGCCAUAUUGCCUCCUUCGACGCUUCGCUUCGCUCACUGAAUGAUUACGAGUGUGAAAUUCGCUACCACCUGGGCAAGGCCAAUGUAGUGGCUGAUGCCCUAAGCAGGAAGGAAUAUUCAGGCCGCCGAGU